rnacentral:rRNA from 1 species
UACGGAGGGGGCAAGCGUUGUUCGGAAUUACUGGGCGUAAAGGGCUCGUAGGCGGCCAACUAAGUCAGACGUGAAAUCCCUAGGCUCAACCUAGGAACUGCGUCUGAUACUGGAUGGCUUGAAUCCGGGAGAGGGAUGCAGAAUUCCAGGUGUAGCGGUGAAAUGCGUAGAUAUCUGGAGGAAUACCGGUGGCGAAGGCGGCAUCCUGGACCGGCAUUGACGCUGAGGAGCGAAAGCCAGGGGAGCAAACGGG